rfam:Osedax symbiont Rs1 5221_190, whole genome shotgun sequence.
GGGGGUGACUUGGAUUCGACGCUGAUUACAAACCCUUAGGUGCAUGUCGUGAGUGUAGUGAAUCACGUUAAUCCCUUACUACAAAGUUAUAGUUGCAAACGACGAUAACUACGCACUAGCAGCUUAAGCCUGCUACGCAACACCUUCAGGUGCCUAUAACUAGAGGAUUUGUUGUGUCAUAUGAGAUGGGAUCGCCCGGAAGCUUUGUCUCAAGCGGAACGGUUAAAACUAAAGAGGCUCGCCCUAAACGCCCUGACCUUCGGGCCGUGCUGGGUUAACUUAAUAGAAGUGUCUAAGCAUGUAGAUCCUGAGGCAGAGGAUUGGCGGACGCGGGUUCGAAACCCGCCACCUCCACCA